GAAACUUGGUCAAAUUAAUUAGUCAAAUUUUUUUUUUCCUUUUAGGAUAUUUUUUGGUUCAUCUAUUUUAAAGAAAAAUUUCAAAAACUCCCAAGUGGUUUUGUAGUUUUCAUUUUGCUCCCAUGUGGUUUAAAAUGUAUCAAAUUGCUCCCCUGUGGUUUCGUUUUUAUCUUUUCGGUAGCUUUUUCGUUAAUAUUUUAUUAAAUUAUAUACAAAAAAACUUCAUAUACCUAUUUAGAUUUAUCAAAUAUUCACUUUAGUACCCUCUAAAUUAAAUUUAUCACUGAUUUAAGAAAAAAAAUUAUAAAAUUGAUAAAAAAAAAAGAAAAAAGAAACCACAGGGGGGCAAAUUAAUACAUUUUAAACCACAGGGGAGGAAAGUGAGAAACUACGAAACCACAGGGAAUUUUUUUUGAAGUUUUUCCCUAUUUUAAACUAUAAAAUUAGAAUAAAAUUUAUUAAUUUUCAUAAUUAUCGUUUAUUUUAUAAAAAUCUUCUUAUUCUACUUCGGAAUGGGAAUAUGACCAAAUUCAUUUAUUGCUCAAUUAAGCCUUAAAUCCCAAAUUGGUCCGAUUCAAAAUAAACUAUUGAAAAUCUUAUUUCACCAAUAUCUAUCUCCUCUUUUUUAUCAUUUUUCUCUCGUUUAAUCAAAUCAUCUCUCAAAAAUUACAAAUAUUCAUUUUGAAUUCCAUUCCAACAAUGAACCAAACAUGUUUAGGAUGAUUCGUCAUUCCAUUUUUUAUUCCAAAAUGAUUCAAUUUUAUUUUGAAUUCUUAUUCCAAUUAUGAACCAAACAUGCCCUUAAUGUAAUUAUUUUUUCCAACGAUGUUCAUCUAGUUAAAUUCACAAAAA
rnacentral:lncRNA from 1 species